rnacentral:rRNA from 1 species
GACGAACGCUGGCGGCGUGCUUAACACAUGCAAGUCGAACGGAAAGGCCCUGCUUUUGUGGGGUGCUCGAGUGGCGAACGGGUGAGUAACACGUGAGUAACCUGCCCUUGACUUUGGGAUAACUUCAGGAAACUGGGGCUAAUACCGGAUAGGAGCUCCUGCUGCAUGGUGGGGGUUGGAAAGUUUCGGCGGUUGGGGAUGGACUCGCGGCUUAUCAGCUUGUUGGUGGGGUAGUGGCUUACCAAGGCUUUGACGGGUAGCCGGCCUUAGAGGGGGACCGGCCCCCAUGGGACUGAGGUACGGCCCAGACUCCUACGGGAGGCAGCAGUGGGGAAUAUUGCACAAUGGGCGGAAGCCUGAUGCAGCAACGCCGCGUGCGGGAUGACGGCCUUCGGGUUGUAAACCGCUUUCGCCUGUGACGAAGCGUGAGUGACGGUAAUGGGUAAAGAAGCACCGGCUAACUACGUG